GUUUGUUUCAGCAGCACAUAUACUGAAAUUGGAACAUUACAGAGAGGAUUACAUAGCCCUGUACAAGGAUGAUAUGCAACUUUGUGAAGCGUUCCAUAUUUCU